rnacentral:tRNA from 1 species
GCCCAUGUAGUUUAACUAAAAUAUUACACUGAAGAUGUAAAGAUGGACCCUGAUAAGUCUCGUGAGCAU